AGAGUUUGAUCCUGGCUCAGGACGAACGCUGGCGGCGUGCCUAAUACAUGCAAGUCGAGCGGAUCUUCUCCUUCGGGAGAAGGUUAGCGGCGGACGGGUGAGUAACACGUAGGCAACCUGCCCCUUAGAUCGGGAUAACAUUCGGAAACGAAUGCUAAGACCGGAUACAUCAUCUUGCCGCAUGGCGGGAUGAGGAAACA
rnacentral:rRNA from 1 species